GAACCUGAUGAGUUCGCCGUCGCUUGAUGCUAAUUACCCGCACGAGUGUUUUAAUCUUUUAGAUCUUGACUCUGUAGGGCAUUCCUUCAUCUCUGAGACUGCAGGCGUAUCUUCUAUAAACAGCAGUUGCAUUUCUUCGCAUGUAAAUGGCAGGUCGUAAUUUGUUGCUGUAGUUCUGCUGUUUUUCUGCAAGUUGGACGUCGGAGUUUUUUAGGAACAAAGAGUUGAAGGACUACUUGGCUUUAAAAUCCGUUGAUUUGCUGACAUGGGAGGCGAAUGGGAGAACAGGAUUUUUUGGAACCUGGUUUCACGCGCCUGUUAGAACAUUAUAAUUAAGAAACAAUACUAGGAAAAAAAAUCUGAAAUUUUUGGGUACCAAAUUGAUGGGGUUCGGCUACUCUGCAAUACAGCUAUUACUGCAUAGGUACUGUAGGAAGCCAAUCUACCAUCCAUUUUAAUCCGACGCUUCUCGGCUGCCAGACCGGCAUGGUCCCCACGUCGUCCUCUUCCCUGUGCUCGUCAAGCUCGCCCCCUCGAACUCUUCGUCCCUGGCGAGCCUAACUCGAUGCUCGUGUAUCAGCUCCUGCACCACGCCCAACCCGCUCAUCUUCGUCUAUUCGGACAACAUGUCGACAACAUCAUUAAGCUGCCCCUCCUGCGCCUCUCUCUCUCUUCGUCUGAUCGUCUCCAUGCCAGACCUAUCCUCCGCCGACGCAUUGAGGUGUGUACUCUCCGUUGUUGUCGGCGACGCCUCCUCCGACCAGUGGCUCAAUGGCCCCUACCUGAGGUCUGAGGUCUCAUCUAUCGUCUCGGAGGUCAUGGCUUACCUCUUCCGCUUCGACACAAACUCCGACGAGCCCAACUCAGGUCUGACACGGAGAUGGCGCAGGGCGACGACGACGAUGAUGCGCUGGCUCCCGUGCUGGGUGCCCCUGUUCCCUCAUACGUCGGAGAGGGCGCCCCAUGACCGGCCCCGCCACCACCCUACACGGCAGCCGAUGUACUACGUGCAAGUGCGCCCAGUCCACUACCUUGAUGCGGUUGGGCAUGGCCGUGGCCCUAUUCCUCGCCAAGUUCACCGGGAGGAGCCUCCAGCUUGUCAUUGUUGUCUGGCUUGCGGAGCUUGCCGUCGCCCUUCCGCUCGUGGAGCUCUUCGUGGAACUGCUGCUCGCAGUGAGAAAGGGUGCAGCCGUGCAGCAGCCGCGUCUCCAGUCUGCUGUCUGCUCUCGCACCAGCUGCGUCCCAUCCAUCCCUUGCAGCAUGUGAUGUUUCAUCAAGAAAAAAAAGGUCAAAAUCAAAGCUAUUAAAAACACACUGUUCCGUUAAGAAUACCAUGGGCGUCAUUUUUAAAUGAAACUUCACAUGUGAGUAGAAUGGUCACCAAGUUUGACACCCCAAAAUUUCAGUUUUCCUAUUUUUCUUACUCCCUUCGUUCCUAAAUAUUUGUUUUUUUAGAGAUUUUAAAUGGACUACCACAUAUGGAUGUAUAUAGAAUAUUUUAGAGUGUAAAUUCACUCAUUUUUGCUUCGUAUGUAGUCACUUGUUGAAAUCUCUAGAAAGACAAAUAUUUAGGAACGGAGGGAAUAGUAUUUUAUUUUAUUUUACUUUUCAUGUGGCUGCACCCAAGACCAUGUUCAUCGGUGUAUUUUCACGGCGUAGUGUAUUUGUGUAUUUUUAGUGAGCGGGAAGGCAAAUGAGGGUAUCAUGGAAAAUACAAACAAAAGCCCUCCAUUUCUAUGUGGAUGUUCGCGGACAAUUGGUUGGUGUCUAGUUAUCUAACACUAGCACAAACGCGAACCAACAGUCCAGGUGCUUCCAUUAUUUCUGAAUUUAUUUUAGGAUUUUUGGCGAUGCGCUUUCAAUGGAAGGAGACAUUUCCGUCAACGAUGAGACGCAUAAUGUGACUUCGUAAACCUCAAAAUGAUAUGCCGGCUCAGUCUCUUGAAAGUGCUCGUAGGGGUAGGAUGUGCGUGUGUGCGUUCAUAGGGGUGAAUAUAUGCGCGUAUGUAUAAGCGCUUGCAUCUGUACUGUGUUAAAAAAAAUAGUAGCACCAAGAGUCCCCUACCUAUUAACUCCGACAAUGAUUGGUGUGCAGAUAUUUUGUCAGCAGAAGCGUUGGCUCUAAAAUUUGGCUUAUUACUUGCACGGGAUGCAAUCAUUUUGUUAUUAACUCCAACAAUAUGAAAGUGAUUGACACAAUGAAAAAUGAAGGAUAUUCCGUGGCAGCGGCGGUGACAGUGUUUGAGGAUUGCUAUUUUAUGGCGUGUGAUUUUUCUCUUACUAGAUUUAAACAUCGUAAUAGGGAAGCAAAUAAGGUUGCUCUAGGUUAGUGAAAUUUUCCAUGACAAGGAAUUGGUUUGAGCCCUAUGGAUGAUAUGUAUCUUUUCUUAUUGACGACGCAACUAUAAUUUCCAAUUAAUAAAAUUGAUAUUUUUGUAUAAAAAAACAGUCCCCUACCUAUUUCUCCCUCUUUUUUGCGGAGUCAAAUUUCAUAAAUUUGCAACAAUCAAAAGCAAUUCAACCAUACAUGUAUCACUUCCAAACAGUUUAAAGAUAAAUUGCUCAUGACAAGCAAUUCAAGCUUUCCAUUACCCGGAUUCAACAAUUUCAAACAAAAGCAGCUGAACAAAUAAUUGCCCAUCACCAUUACCAAAGCGUGCAAUCAUGCCACUACACAUAUGGUGAACCCACAUUGCACCACGACGCAACGAGCAGGAGGAGCUAUCUCUCGCGUGCGCCACCUCAUCGACCUAUCAUGUCUUGGUGUUGGUGCGCCAGUCUUAGUGUUUGAGGCUCAUUGGAUUCGGCCCGAUGGCGGCACCUCAAAGAUGUUCGAUAGGGUAAGGUCCAUGGGCCGGAAGAGAUCCAUUCUGGCGGCGACAUCCAAUGGAGGUGGUGUUGUAGCAAUGGCGACAAUGUCUAAGGUGGGUUUGAUGACAACCUUGGGGUCACAGAGUGAGAAGGAGAGUUGAGGAUGGGAUGGGGAUGGGACCAGGUAGAGUUUUUGUGUGGAUGAGGAUGGAUGCACAACUAGAGUCCCCUCCAUUUGGGGCCGGGCUGGGGGAUGUCAGACCAUCGAAGCCCAAAAUGGAGGAGUCGAUGGAUGCUAAAUAUGGUUCGGACAGUCCAGUCCGAAUAAAUUGGGCGGAAUGGGUUUCUGCCUUGGAGAUAACCGUAUGUGGGCAAACUCUCAUAUAUCUCUUCAUUUGUACCUGAUAAUUCAACCGAAGAUAGGGAACUGAUACCGUGACAACUCUAAUGCUAGUUUAUAAAACUUGCAUGUAUAUCAAGAACUUUGAUUAUUAAUUUGGUCAACAAAAUAUUAGUUAUAUAUCACACAAAAUGUAUCAGUAGAUUCACGUUUCAGAAAAAAUACGGUACAAUAUUUGUGGCACAUAACUCAAAUCGUGUCGAUCAUAUCACUAAUACACAAUGGGACUAUGUGCAGACGGACUGUGUGCGAUGACAACACCGCAAACAGUAGGAAAAUAAACUUGUGCGCCCAGAAACUGAAUGUGGGCGAUCAGUUGCCCAUCGCGCACAGGCAAUAAAAGAAAACUGUGUGCGAUAUCCUGUAUGCAGUUCUACCUAAUCAAACAUGUGCGAAGUGUAUGAGUAUCUCACACAUUGUAUAAGGGAACUUGUGUGCACAUGAUAGCAAAGGGUGAUGGCAUGACGAAGCCCUUUUUGUCGAUUCUCUGUUCGGAUCCCUUCCAGAGGCUGGGGUUCUUCAAUGUGAUGGAUUCUGUGGCCUCUUUGUGUAUCAUACUCGCAUCCGAAGAUAUGGGUAAUAUAGUCGACCAGAGGCGGCUAUAAUGGAUUCCCCUAUGGUAAGAUCCUCCUGGCACGAGCGUGGUACGAGCAUGGACGUCAUCUUCUCUGGAUCCCUCUACGCGGCUGGUUUUCUUCCUGUUUACUCGUGGCUUCAUAUGGUAGGUUCUUAUCACAUAAAUUGACGUGAUCUUUUACCGCAUAUUCUUGUACUUUCCUCCUAAUGCCUCAAAACUUCUUAUGGUUGGAAUCCAUGCAAAAACAGACAAAAAGACGUGUGCAAAUACGAUAAAAUUCAGACAAAACCGACGCCUACGACAAAAAACACUAAUAAAAAGUGGUAAUAAAUAGGACACAUCACCACCACAAACCAAACUCGAAGACUCCCUAAUGAAAACCUGAAAAAAA
rnacentral:lncRNA from 1 species